GACGAACGCUGGCGGCGUGCUUAACACAUGCAAGUCGAACGGAAAGGCCCUGCUUUUGUGGGGUGCUCGAGUGGCGAACGGGUGAGUAACACGUGAGUAACCUGCCCUUGACUUUGGGAUAACUUCAGGAAACUGGGGCUAAUACCGGAUAGGAGCUCCUGCUGCAUGGUGGGGGUUGGAAAGUUUCGGCGGUUGGGGAUGGACUCGCGGCUUAUCAGCUUGUUGGUGGGGUAGUGGCUUACCAAGGCUUUGACGGGUAGCCGGCCUGAGAGGGUGACCGGCUACAUUGGGACUGAGAUACGGCCCAGACUCCUACGGGAGGCAGCAGUGGGGAAUAUUGCACAAUGGGCGGAAGCCUGAUGCAGCAACGCCGCGUGCGGGAUGACGGCCUUCGGGUUGUAAACCGCUUUCGCCUGUGACGAAGCGUGAGUGAAGGUAAUGGGUAAAGAAGCACCGGCUAACUACGUG
rnacentral:rRNA from 1 species